rnacentral:tRNA from 1 species
AAAAUUUUAAGUUAAACUAAACUAAUAAUUUUCAAAAUUAUAAAUAAAUAAAAGUUUAAAUUUUA